rnacentral:rRNA from 1 species
ACACGUAGGGGGCGAGCGUUGUUCGGAAUCAUUGGGCGUAAAGGGCGUGCAGGCGGUCCUGCAAGUCCGGCGUGAAAGACCCCGGCCCAACCGGGGGGACGCGCUGGAAACUGCGGGGCUUGAGUACAGGAGGGGAUGCCGGAAUUCCAGGUGUAGGGGUGAAAUCUGUAGAUAUCUGGAAGAACACCAAUGGCGAAGGCAGGCAUCUGGACAUGUACUGACGCUGAGACGCGAAGGUGCGGGGAGCAAACAGGUUUAGAUACCCUGGUAGUCCGCACAGUAAACGAUGUGCACCAGGUGGCGGGGGGUCGACCCUCGGUACCGUAGCUAACGCAUUAAGUGCACCGCCUGGGGAGUAUGCUCGCAAGGGUGAAACUCAAAUGAAUUGACGGGG